GACGUAGGGCGCGAGCGUUGUCCGGAUUUAUUGGGCGUAAAGAGCUCGUAGGCGGCUUGUCGCGUCAACUGUGAAAACCCGUGGCUCAACCAUGUGGUCUGCAGUCGAUACGGGCAGGCUAGAAUUCGGUAGGGGAGACUGGAAUUCCUGGUGUAGCGGUGAAAUGCGCAGAUAUCAGGAGGAACACCGGUGGCGAAGGCGGGUCUCUGGGCCGAUAUUGACGCUGAGGAGCGCAAGCGUGGGGAGCGAACAGG
rnacentral:rRNA from 1 species